AAAAAAAAAAAAGUUUGAGGAAUUCUUUGAUGAAUUGAAAAACACUGGAAAAUACUGUGAAAUACCUUGUAGGUGACAGCAAAUGUGGAGCUGCUAUUUGAAUACUUGUAGAAAGAGACCUUUUUGUAGUCAGUUUUUGGAUAUAAGGAUCAUCUAAAUUUAGAUGAUAAAGUUCUUUCUGCUAGCUUUUGGGAGACUAUAGAGUGGUUUUGCUGAACUUUCUGAAGGUUAGGCUGGACCAAGAGGCAUUUUGAGGGAGAGAUGUAGGAAUUGAGGAAAUUAAAUAUAUGUUGCUAUACCAGCUAAUAAUCUUUCCAAGCAGACAUUGUGUAAGCAUGCAUAGCAUAUGCGAUGCUUAAGAGGUAUCUAGAAUAUAGGAGCCAAAUAAAAUUGCUUCAGCAAGUAAAAAAAUGGAGAUAGUUACCCACAUUUUCAUCUUCUGAAGCCAUGGUGUUUUUUUUAAGCUUUCUAUAUUAUCUGCUUAUCAAAGUGAUUCAAGCUAUGAUAGUCAUAAAAUUUUUAACUUUAGAAUUUUGGGGGUCCCCGUGUAUGCCUGGGGAGUAGGUUAUUUAUUGACUCUCCAGGCUAUUGUUUUCGGGAUUGUUUAAAAACAAACCUUAUGUAUCUUGGUAACCCGGAGUUGGCGAACAGUACAAAGACAUAAAUACCCUUAGAUGAUUCCUGUCCUGUAGUAUGCUCUGGAGCAAAUCCUACUUUAAGAUUAUGUAAAUGAUAGAAAUGACACAUUCUUAACGUGAGAUUACAUUUGCUUUAGCUCCUAAGGAGAUCGAUUUUCUAUUUCUUAAAAUGAAAAGUCAACGCUCAGUAGUGCCAGCAAUUUCAGGAUUUACUCAGUAAAAAAACUAAUUCUUUAACUUGGUAACUAAAUAUUUGUAGGAAGAAAAGUUUCACUUUUGAUAGUCAUCUUGCAGCCAUGGAAAUUAGUAACCCCUGUGAAGUAGUGUUGUUUCUAAGCAGUUGAGGGAAAGAAAAGACAAAAUUGUAAAAUUCAAAGAUGACUGAUUCACUGAAGGACCCAAAUUAUUAUUCUAAUUCUGCAUGAAGCUGGACAGAUUAACCUCUACAGAAUUGGGUAAUUGGAGUAGACUUUUUAAAGGAGCUUUCUGGCUCUAAAAGAUGUCUGAUUCUGAUAACGUGGCCUUAUCAUUUGUUAACUUGGGCUGUGAAUCCAGGUGUACUUUGGCUUUUAGAAAAAAAAGGAUUGGAGUAGUCUGACUGAACAUUCAGCAGACACUUAAUCCAUAACUGCCAAGCUCCCUAACACAAAUACCCAAGUGACCAAUUCUGUGCUGUAGAACAGAGGAGUUGGCAAACUCUGUGUGUGUGUGUGUGUGUGCGCGCAUGUGUGUGUACAGAGCCAUUUUAUUUUAUUUUAAUUUAAUUUUUUUAAUUCUUAUUUAUAUUUUUUUAACGAUUCAUUUUGGAGAGAGAGUGACAGAGUGCAAGCAGGGGAAGAACAGAGAGAGAGAGGGAGACCCAGAAUCCGAAGUAGGCUCCAGGUGCUGUCAGCACAGAGCCCGAUGCAGGGCCUGAACCCACGAACCGUGAGAGCAUGACCUCAGCCUAAGUUGGAUGCUUAACCAACUGAGCCACCCAGCACUGUUUACAAUAGGCAAGACAUGGAAACAGCCUAAAUGUUGAUGAAUGAACGGGUAAGGAAAAUGUGUUAAUAUGCAGUGGAAUAUUAGUCCGUCAUAAAAAAAAAAAAAAGGGAAAUCCUGUCAUUUGCAACAUGUAUGGACCU